CAUGCAAGUCGAGCGGUAGAGAGGUGCUUGCACCUCUUGAGAGCGGCGGACGGGUGAGUAAUGCCUAGGAAUCUGCCUGGUAGUGGGGGAUAACGCUCGGAAACGGACGCUAAUACCGCAUACGUCCUACGGGAGAAAGCAGGGGACCUUCGGGCCUUGCGCUAUCAGAUGAGCCUAGGUCGGAUUAGCUAGUUGGUGGGGUAAUGGCUCACCAAGGCGACGAUCCGUAACUGGUCUGAGAGGAUGAUCAGUCACACUGGAACUGAGACACGGUCCAGACUCCUACGGGAGGCAGCAGUGGGGAAUAUUGGACAAUGGGCGAAAGCCUGAUCCAGCCAUGCCGCGUGUGUGAAGAAGGUCUUCGGAUUGUAAAGCACUUUAAGUUGGGAGGAAGGGCAUUAACCUAAUACGUUAGUGUUUUGACGUUACCGACAGAAUAAGCACCGGCUAACUCUGUGCCAGCAGCCGCGGUAAUACAGAGGGUGCAAGCGUUAAUCGGAAUUACUGGGCGUAAAGCGCGCGUAGGUGGUUUGUUAAGUUGGAUGUGAAAGCCCCGGGCUCAACCUGGGAACUGCAUUCAAAACUGACAAGCUAGAGUAUGGUAGAGGGUGGUGGAAUUUCCUGUGUAGCGGUGAAAUGCGUAGAUAUAGGAAGGAACACCAGUGGCGAAGGCGACCACCUGGACUGAUACUGACACUGAGGUGCGAAAGCGUGGGGAGCAAACAGGAUUAGAUACCCUGGUAGUCCACGCCGUAAACGAUGUCAACUAGCCGUUGGG
rnacentral:rRNA from 1 species